AAAAGUCGUAACAAGGUUUCCGUAGGUGAACCUGCGGAAGGAUCAUUAACGAAUACGGUCGUAAGACCAAUUCAUCCUUUACACACCUGUGAAAUUUUAAUUAACCUUUUGCUUUGGUCGAUUAAUUUCGGCCAAAGGAUUUUAUCAAACACUUUAUUAUAAACCUUGCAGUCUGAAAUUGAAAAAAUUUUAAAUUAAUCAAAACUUUCAACAACGGAUCUCUUGGUUCUC
rnacentral:misc_RNA from 1 species